rnacentral:lncRNA from 1 species
AUUCUGCCUCUCUCCCCGGUUCAGAAGCAGCAUCCGGACUCAAAUGCAGCAUCAUAGCUGGCAGCUGUGACCCACUGUGGAGUCUGUCCUCAGGGAACUCUGGUUUGGAGGGGGUUAAAGUAAACAGCAUGGAGCGGGGACCACUUGGCAGUGUGUGUUAAAACAUGAAAUGCACAAACCAUCUGCUGUCAAGUCCCCUCCAGAGUGGCUGACUGUAAGAAGAAAUGGCCCUCAUGCCUGGGGGGGGGGAGCCAGGAUGUUUCUGGCAGGUUUGUUGGUGACCAGGCAGAAUGAAAACCACCCACAUAUCCAUCAGUAAGGGAUGAGGAAACCAGCCGCGGUGAUGUGGAAUACUAUGCAACUGUGUGGAAUACUAUGAAAAGAUCAGCCAGACCUCUGGGCCCGCGGCAGCCGCAAGAGGGAAGCACAAGGCACUGGGCGCCCCGCCAGGAAACAGAUCAUUCACAUCUCCAGGGCUGGGCUGCCCGGGCCAGCAGCCAGGACUCACGGCAACCAGGUGGGAAACCGAGGCAGGGACCAUCUGGAGGGCUUCAACAAUGCCUGCCACUGGAGCAAAGCACAAGGACCCUGGAGAGCUGGGAGCUCAGGGCUUCCCAAGGAAGCUGGGUCCCAUCCCCAUCCUCGGUUUCCUCAUCUGCCCGUGGGAAGAAUUCCUUAUGCACAGCUGGCCGCCGGGGUGCCCACCCUGUAAUCCCAGUGACUCAGGAGGCUGAGGCAGGAGGAUCACGCUUGGAGGCCAGCCUCAGAAAACUAGCCAGACCCUGCCUCAGAAUAAAAAUAAAAAGGGCUGGGGAUGUAGCUCAGUGGUAGAGGACCCUUGGGUUCCAUCCCCAGAACUGAAAAAAAAAAAAAAAGAGUAAAGGAAGAAGCCACCUUGCGGUCCGGAGUGGUGGUCUCACUAAGCUUUU